GACAAAAGGAAUAGGUUUUCAGAUCCAUGUGCUGCACAGCAGGGUGACUGUAGUCCAUGUAUUGUAAAAAUAAGGACGUUCAUGAAGGAAGGAGUGUGUCUUAGGGUUGUAGAAACUUGUGGAAGGGCAGUUGAUACGGUUUGGCUGUUUCCCCACCCAAAUCUCAUCUUGGAUUCCCACUGUUGCGGGAGGGACCUGGUGGGCGGUAAUUUUUCUAUACUGUAGAAAUGAACAACUGAAAAUGAAAUUAAGAAAACAAUUCCAGCCAGGCAUGGUGGCUCAUGCCUGUAAUCCUAGCAUUCUGGGAGGCUGAGACAGGAGGGUUGCUUGAGGCCAAGAGUUCAAGACCACUCUGGCCAGCAUAUCAAGACCCUGUUUCUAUUAAAAAAAAAAAAAAAAAAAAGGCUGGGCACCGUGGCUCAUGCCUGUAAUCCCAGCACUUUGGGAGGCCAAGGCGGGUGGAUCACCUGAGG
rnacentral:lncRNA from 10 species